rnacentral:hammerhead_ribozyme from 1 species
AUUCAGAUGACGUGUCCCGAAUAGGACGAAAUGCGCAUCCUAGAU